UGGGGAAUAUUGCACAAUGGGCGGAAGCCUGAUGCAGCAACGCCGCGUGAGGGAUGACGGCCUUCGGGUUGUAAACCUCUUUUAGCAGGGAAGAAGCGAGAGUGACGGUACCUGCAGAAAAAGCGCCGGCUAACUACGUGCCAGCAGCCGCGGUAAUACGUAGGGCGCAAGCGUUAUCCGGAAUUAUUGGGCGUAAAGAGCUCGUAGGCGGUUUGUCGCGUCUGCUGUGAAAUCCCGAGGCUCAACCUCGGGCCUGCAGUGGGUACGGGCAGACUAGAGUGCGGUAGGGGAGAUUGGAAUUCCUGGUGUAGCGGUGGAAUGCGCAGAUAUCAGGAGGAACACCGAUGGCGAAGGCAGAUCUCUGGGCCGUAACUGACGCUGAGGAGCGAAAAGGGUGGGGAGCAAAACAGGCUUAGAUACCCUGGUAGUCCACCCCGUAAACGUUGGGAACUAGUUGUGGGGACCAUUCCACGGUUUUCCGUGACGCAGCUAAACGCAUUAAGUUCCCCGCCUGGGGAGUACGGCCGC
rnacentral:rRNA from 1 species